GAUGAACGCUGGCGGCGUGCCUAAUACAUGCAAGUCGAACGCAUUGAGAGAAGUGCUUGCACUUUUCAAUUUGUGUGGCGAACGGGUGAGUAACACGUGGGCAACCUACCUGAUAGCGGGGGAUAACGAGUGGAAACAUUCGCUAAUACCGCAUAACAAUAGAGAAGGCAUCUUCUUUAUUUAAAAGGCGCUUUCAAGCGUCACUAUCAGAUGGGCCCGCGGUGCAUUAGUUAGUUGGUGGGGUGAAGGCCUACCAAGACGAUGAUGCAUAGCCGGAUGGAGAGCCUGAUCGGCCACAUUGGGACUGAGACACGGCCCAAACUCCUACGGGAGGCUGCAGUAGGGAAUCUUCCACAAUGGACGAAAGUCUGAUGGAGCAACGCCGCGUGUGUGAUGAAGGCUUUCGGGUCGUAAAGCACUGUUGUAUGGGAAGAAAUGCUAGGCUAGGAAAUGAGCUUAGUUUGACGGUACCAUACCAGAAAGGGACGGCUAAAUACGUGCCAGCAGCCGCCGUAA
rnacentral:rRNA from 1 species